rnacentral:rRNA from 1 species
UACGUAGGUGGCAAGCGUUGUCCGGAUUUACUGGGCGUAAAGAGCGCGCAGGCGGUUGGAUAAGUCGAAUGUGAAAGCCCCCGGCUCAACUGGGGAGGGUCAUUCGAUACUGUCCGACUCGAAGGCAGGAGAGGGAAGCGGAAUUCCCGGUGUAGUGGUGAAAUGCGUAGAUAUCGGGAGGAACACCAGUGGCGAAGGCGGCUUUCUGGCCUGUUCUUGACGCUGAGGCGCGAAAGCGUGGGGAGCAAACAGG